GGCGGCGUGGAUUGACAUGCAAGUCGAACGAGUUUCGUUUAGUAGCAAUACUGAGCGAAGCUAGUGGCGAACGGGUGCGUAACACAUGAGUCAUCUGCCCAGAAGUGGGGAAUAGCUCGGCGAAAGCCGGAUUAAUACCGCAUGUGGUCGUAAGACCAAAGCCGGGGCAACCUGGCGCUUUUGGAGGAGCUCGUGGCCUAUCAGCUAGUUGGUGAGGUAACGGCUCACCAAGGCAACGACGGGUAGCUGGUCUGAGAGGACGACCAGCCACACUGGAACUGAGAUACGGUCCAGACACCUACGGGUGGCAGCAGUCGAGAACUUUUCUCAAUGGGGGAAACCCUGAAGGAGCGACGCCGCGUGGAGGAUGAAUGCUUUCGGGUUGUAAACUCCUGUCAUUUGGGAACAAGACCUUACGUUAACUGCGUGGAGGAUUGAUAGUACCAGAAGAGGAAGAGACGGCUAACUCUGUGCCAGCAGCCGCGGUAAUACAGAGGUCUCGAGCGUUGUUCGGAUUCAUUGGGCGUAAAGGGCGCGUANGCGGCGGGGUAAGUCUGGUGUGAAAUCUAGGAGCUCAACUCCUA
rnacentral:rRNA from 1 species